CCUUGAAGCGCAUUUACCUCAUUGCCCUUCUCUCAUAUCACAUUGGCAUUUUUGUUUCAAAGUCAAUCGGAGACCGAGAAAGAAAACAACAUCGGCGAAAGAACGGAGAAAGAAGAAACUCCGCAGAAGAAUAAUACAAAGGAAGGAAGAAGAACUAUUGGGUGAACGGAGCUACUUCUUCGAUGGAAAUUGGGAUGCAAAAGAAAAAUGCAAGGUGCUAAGAUAAGCACAAUGCAAGGUAUUAGUAUGUAAUGUAAAGAGAACAUGUUAUUCCACUUAAUAUGCAUUAUUAUCCUGUACAAGUAUCAAAUGGAUGGAAUGGUACAAGACUGCUUAUCAAUGAAGACAUACUAGAAAUCAAUGACUUUUAGAAAAGGGUUAUCAAACAUGAAUUUAGUUGUUGUUGUUCUUUGGAAAAAAAUCAGCAAAUACUAGCUUGCGCAAAUGGAGCUAAAGAAGAUAAGGAGUUGAAUCUUGGUAGCUCUUCCAUGGAAAGUGAGUUACAAAAGGUUGAUCAUGAUGCAUUGGAAAAGAAGGAAAACAAUGAAAUGUAUAGGUUGGAUGUUGAGGUUUAUGAUGGCUAGCUUAGAGAAAGCAAAAUUUGUGUUUUGGGAUAAUACACUUGAUGAGUUGUUUGGCAUGACUACCGCUAUAAUUGAGAAAAUGGAAAAGUGCGGUCUAGGCGAACCUCAAGUAUAUCCUGAAGCUAUGGACGAUCUUAUGGAGAGGAAGUAUACUUGCUGCAUUUUUUGGAUAGGUUGAUCACGAUGCAUUGGAAAAGAAGGAAAACAAUGAAAGUGCAGUCUAGGCAACCCUCAAGAAUAUCCUGAAGCUAUGGACCAUCUUAUGGAGAGGAAGUUAGCUUUUAGAGUGAAGUGGCAACCUGGAUUGGGGAGCCUGGAUGGGGGGGUUAAGCAUUUGUGUCCCUUUGUAAGGAUAGCAAAGAGUUGGUUGCCAAAAUGCAAGAACAACUACCUGUUGCAGAGAGUUCAUGCAAAGCCACAGAAACCAUUUAACUAAUUGAAGAAGUGGCACCAAUUACCGCCUCACCUCAGAUUCAGAGUUUUACACAAGAUGAUAUUGACAAGUUUGCUUGCUUAGACGAUUCAAUUAUGUCCACUCCAAACUUAUCUGCUACUGCCGAUAAUGACAUUUCGGCUAACUCUCACAAAACUCCAGCCAAAAGAAGUGCUGCAAAGGGUCAAUCACUUGAGUUUACCAACCUUGAUUCACCAUUAUCAUCAACCAGAUCUAGGAAGCUGAUUAAGAAGGAGAAGAUUUGAUCUGAAUAUGCCACAUCUGCAUUAUGACAUUUCUACUAUAUGCAUUAAUUUCUUAUUUUGUUCUUAAGCACAGAGUUUGUGCAUUAAAUCAAUUGUAACACAAGUGUGCCAUGUUCAUUGGUAACAUUUGUGAAACUUAAUGGUGGUCUUUGUUGUUUUGUUUAUGCCUUAACUACUGCUAUGAUAUCCUAUUUGAACUUGCAAGAAUAUUAAAUUAAUAUGUUUGUG